AACAGGAUUAGAUACCCUGGUAGUCCACGCUGUAAACGAUGUCGACUUGGAGGUUGUGCCCUUGAGGCGUGGCUUCCGGAGCUAACGCGUUAAGUCGACCGCCUGGGGAGUACGGCCGCAAGGUUAAAACUCAAAUGAAUUGACGGGGGCCCGCACAAGCGGUGGAGCAUGUGGUUUAAUUCGAUGCAACGCGAAGAACCUUACCUACUCUUGACAUCCAGAGAAUUUGCUAGAGAUAGCUUAGUGCCUUCGGGAACUCUGAGACAGGUGCUGCAUGGCUGUCGUCAGCUCGUGUUGUGAAAUGUUGGGUUAAGUCCCGCAACGAGCGCAACCCUUAUCCUUUGUUGCCAGCGAGUAAUGUCGGGAACUCAAAGGAGACUGCCGGUGAUAAACCGGAGGAAGGUGGGGAUGACGUCAAGUCAUCAUGGCCCUUACGAGUAGGGCUACACACGUGCUACAAUGGCAUAUACAAAGAGAAGCGAACUCGCGAGAGCAAGCGGACCUCAUAAAGUAUGUCGUAGUCCGGAUUGGAGUCUGCAACUCGACUCCAUGAAGUCGGAAUCGCUAGUAAUCGUAGAUCAGAAUGCUACGGUGAAUACGUUCCCGGGCCUUGUACACACCGCCCGUCACACCAUGGGAGUGGGUUGCAAAAGAAGUAGGUAGCUUAACCUUCGGGAGGGCGCUUACCACUUUGUGAUUCAUGACUGGCGUGAAGUCGUAACAAGGUAACC
rnacentral:rRNA from 1 species